rnacentral:rRNA from 1 species
CCUACGGGAGGCAGCAGUGAGGAAUAUUGGUCAAUGGGCGCGAGCCUGAACCAGCCAAGUCGCGUGAAGGAUGACUGCCCUACGGGUUGUAAACUUCUUUUAUAAAGGAAUAAAGUGAGGCACGUGUGCCUUGUUGUAUGUACUUUAUGAAUAAGGAUCGGCUAACGCCGUGCCAGCAGCCGCGGUAAUACGGAGGAUGCGAGCGUUAUCCGGAUUUAUUGGGUUUAAAGGGUGCGUAGGCGGACCGUUAAGUCAGCGGUCAAAUUCGGGGGCUCAACCCCGUCCCGCCAUUGAAACUGGCGGUCUUGAGUGGAAGAGAAGUAUGCGGAAGGCGUGGUGUAGCGGUGAAAUGCAGAGAUAUCGCGCAGAACCCCGAUUGCGAAGGCAGCAUGCCGGCUUCAUACUGACGCUGAAGCACGAAAGCGUGGGGAUCGAACAGGAUUAGAUACCCCGGUAGUC